rnacentral:rRNA from 1 species
AUUGAACGCUGGCGGCAUGCCUUACACAUGCAAGUCGAACGGUAACGGGCCUUCCUGUGCCGACGAGUGUCGACCGGGUGAGUAUUACAUCGGCACGUGCCCGCUCGCUGGGGAUAACGGGUCACAAGCUUUGCUAAUACCGCAUACGAUCUACUGAUUAAAGCAGCAUACCGCAAUGCCUUGCGCGGACGUUGCUGCCGCUGGCAGAUUAGGUAGUUGGUCGGAUAAAGGCUUACCAAGCCGACGAUCUGUAGCUGGUCUGAGAGGAUGAUCAGCCACACUGGGACUGAGACACGGCCCAGACUCCUACGGGAGGCAGCAGUGGGGAAUUUUGGGCAAUGGGCGAAAGCCUGAUCCAGCCAUGCCGCGUGAAGGAUGAAGGCCUUCGGGUUGUAAACUGCUUUUGUAAGGAACGAAAAGACGUCUUUGAAUACAGGAGGGUCAUGACGGUACCGUAAGAAUAAGCACCGGCUAACUACGUG